CAAUUUUCUUGGAAUUCAUAUCUUUAUAGGUCCGUUCAUCAUUUGAGAUCAUUAUGUAGCCGAGAUAAAGAAUGAAUUUAGAUCAGAGCAUCGUUUGAAGAUGUGAAAGGUCGAUUUACAGAGAAUCUUUUUCUUGACCUAAUUGAAUUGGUCUAAUCGAUUAUGUAAAAGACGAUUCCGUAUGUAAAUGUGAAAAGUCAAAAGGCAUCCGAGAUCAAAAACAGUGAAAUACUGUGGCGAUUUCUUGUUCGCUCAGAGGAUUGGGCGUUCCAAAAUCCACCGAGGAUGAAAAUUCGCUGCGAGUAGCUUGAGACUUAAAUGCGAUGAAAAGCGGGAGAAAGACAUGGCCCCGCAAUUGAUUUCUGCAAUGGAAGUAUGAAUUUGUUGCAGAGAUUAAAAAUAUUUUGGAAAGAAGGUAUUGAUGAGUUUGAUUGGAAGUAAUGUCAGAUGCCUAACUUUAAGCAUACAUACGCAUGUGAGCAGCGGCUUGAUGGUCAUUGGAAAGCGCGGCACGACAUUGGAAGAACACCAUGAGGAUUCUCUGUUGGAUAUGAGUUUGUGUCCACAUUUUACGCUAUUUUAUUUGGUGGCUGGUUUGACUUGGGCUUUCAAUUUCAAAACAGAAGCUGUUAUAUGAAUCAAAUUGGGUUCUGGCAGUCGAUGUGAGCCCAAAGCCGAUAGAUACACAAGUUGGCCCUGGACUUGUAUGAAUCAAAUUGGGUUGUUAGGCCUAACAUGUCGUUCAUCACCUCCUUUGGAUGAUUUUGGUGGCUAAUUUCUUGAUUACACAAUGUGUAAUUAAACCAAAUUUAUUUUUUAUCACUACAAUCAUAUCGUGUAUGAAAGUAGAUUCAAA